rnacentral:rRNA from 1 species
UACGUAGGUGGCAAGCGUUGUCCGGAUUUACUGGGCGUAAAGAGCGCGCAGGCGGUCGUUCAAGUCGCGUGUGAAAGCCCCCGGCUCAACUGGGGAGGGUCACGCGAUACUGAUCGACUCGAAGGCAGGAGAGGGUAGUGGAAUUCCCGGUGUAGUGGUGAAAUGCGUAGAUAUCGGGAGGAACACCGGUGGCGAAGGCGGCCCCCUGGUUGGAUACUGACGCUGAGACGCGAAAGCGUGGGGAGCAAACAGG